UCUCUUUUAGGUGGCUAAAGGCAAAACAUGUAAAUAUUAUUUUUGUUUAUCAUAACCGGUGGUUAAGCCCUCUCUCUUAUUUGGGUAUUGUUUAAUGGCUCUCUUUAUGUGCUUCGACGUUGUAUAAUUGUGCAAUUUCCUUGAUUACUUGAAAAAAUAUAUAUUAGUUAAACAACAAGCCUAUCAAAAGCAUAAGACAUGCUGAUGAAAGGUAAACCAUGCACAUACAUCAUUACUCAAUUUUGGAUGAAAAUUAAGAAGCCUAGUUAUUUAAAGUAGUUUAUAGAUGCAUAAUAUAUAUUGUGCUCGUGAUUUUCGGAUAUCAAACCAUUAAUUGAUUUGAAUUGUCAAUCUUUGAACUCUCGAUUUUUAUUCGUGGGAAGGAAAAAAUGAGUAAAAACCCUUAUCGAGACUUUGGAUUCGGGGGUUGGUUACGCGAAGGGAAGGUGCUAGCACCCUAAGCGUCUACGGUAUUCCGUAGGAACCUCUUACCUAAUUUAUCUUGUGCUAAAUUCAUUGCUUAUUUGAAAAUUAUUACCUAAAAAAUCUAAGUGAAAGAAUGGAGGGAGAAGAAGUAUGUUUUUGGUUAUUUUUAUUUGAUUUGGAAGGAUAAAAAUCCCAUGCCUACAUACCCUUAAAGAAAAGGGAUCAAAACCAAUGUAGUUCACCUAAAAAGUUUCUUUUUGGUGGGUUAGGUUGAUUUUAAGAUAUUUUUGAAAAUGGGUUUUUAGAAGGGAAAGAGGCCUCAAGGCAUGAGAUAAAAUAAGGUGAGGUUGGUCAAAUUUUAAUUACAAGAAAUCAAAUCUAUUAUGAAUGUUAAUUCAAUUAAGCAUUUGAUUAAGAAAAUAAAAGGAAAACACUUGGGUUACAAACCAAGGUUUAUUAAAAAAUAUUUUUGGAGUUUUGCAUAUUUGAUUUUUUUGUGGUUUUUGAAUAUUGGACUAAAAUUAAACUAACGGAGCAUAAAAAUAAAACGUAGGUACUUCAUGGUGAUGUUGGAUCACCAUAAAGACCUUUAACCUAAAUUAUAAAGCAUAAAGAGAGGCAUACACACGCACGCACACAUGCACCUACGACUAUUACAUAAAAGCCUAUGAUACAUUCUAAAGUUUGCGGAAAAUAAAUGACAAGAAAAAUAAAUUAUUUACAUUAAGCCUAGUUUACAUUCUAACAUAAAUGACAUAGAUAAAUAAAACAUGCAUGAGAGACUAUAAAAUAAUGAUUACGAUGCUAAAAAAAAAACAAAACAAAAUAAAAGGCAUGAAAGAAAUAAUAAAAAAAAAAUGAGGUUCAAUCACAAGGUGGGGGGGGGGGGGGGGGGGGUGCAGCAGUGUAACACCCCGUUUUCCCAACGUGAAAAUUUCAUUUAUUUAAUCAGAGUAAUUCACCUAAACGGAAUGUCACAUUCUUUUCUUAAAAUCAUAAACUGAAUAAAUAACUAUUUAUCCUUUUAAAAUUCGAUAACAAAAUCUUUAAUACUUUGCAGCGGACAUUAUUCAGUGAUCAAAACAGUCUUUGGCACAAGGCCUCAUCAUUAAUAUCUCAUACAAAUCCGAUCAAUAUCUUAUUCAUGAAAAUUCUUUAAGCAAUACGUAUGGAAAAGAAAGACAACAUUAAAAUUCCCAUCCCUUUAUGUAUCAGAGCACCUAAGACACUUGAGCCACCACUCCUACUAAUCAUUAAUACCUGCAAGUUACUCAUACGAAGAGCAACAUUUUCAAGCAGAAGGGGUGAGAUUUCACAAAACAAUAAUAUCAAGCAUAUAAUUCAAUAAUUAUAUUUAACAACACAAAUAACUUCAUCUAUUAGCAAUAAUACUUCUUAAUGUAUAAUUCUUAAUAAUCCAACCAACCUCUAAUUAUCAUUUACUUUAUAUUCAUUACAUUAUAAAUAUCAUCAUAUAACACAUAUUAACCAAAACAUAACAAACAUAGAUCAUCACAUCAUAGUCAUAGUUCAUAUAUAGCAUAACAACAUCUUAAUCCUAAUUCAUAUACAACAUAACAACAUCAUUAAUUCAUAAUAAUAAUUAUUCGUCAAACAUCUCAUUAUUAAUUCAUGAAUAAAAGACAACUUAUCAACUUUAACAUAACCAUCAUCAAGUACACUUAACAACUCAUAGAUAACAUCAUGUAAUCAUCAUCACUAAUAACUUAAACUACAAUAUAAUAUAAUCAUCUCUUAUUAAUAGUAGUAAUUAUCUACAUCAUAACAUAAACAUCUUCUUAUAAUAAUAUAACAACAACGUAACAUGAUAUUCACUUAAUAAUAAUAAUUAUUAUAUAUACAUCAUCUCUUCAUAAUAUAAUAAUAUAACAACGACAUAUUCAUGAUAUUCACUUAAUAAUAAUAAUAAUUAUAUAUAUACAUCAUCUCUUCAUAAUAUAAUAAUAUAACAACAACAUAUUCAUCUUCUUGUAUUAAUAUAACAACAACGUAUUCAUCAUCUUAUGAAAAUAUAAUCAACACAUACUAACACCAAAAUCAACAUCAUAAAUCUUCAACAUAAACAUCUUAAACAAUAUCAUCUUAAACAUCAUAGCAUCUUUGAUAAACAAUUACCAAGUAAUCACAACAUUCGAUCAUCAUCAAUAACAUAACAUAAUAUUCACUUAAUAAUAAUUAAUCCUAUAUAGGACAACAUAAUCAUCACUUAUUAGUAACAAUUAUAUGCAACAUCAUAACAACUUAACAAUAUCAUAAUCAACAUGUUAAACAACAUAACAAUAUCAUAAUCAAUAUCUUAAACAACAUAGCAACGUAACAAUAUCAUAAUCAACAUGUUAAACAACAUAACAAUAUCAUAAUCAAUAUAGCAACGUAACAAUAUCAUAAUCAACAUGUUAAACAACAUAGCAAUAUAACAAUAUCAUAAUCAAUCUGUUAAACAACAUAGCAAUAUAACAAUAUCAUAAUCAAUAUCUUAAACGACAUAGCAACGUAACAAUACCAUAAUCAAUAUCUUAAACGACAUAGCAACGUAUGAAUAUCAUAAUCAACAUGUUAAACAACAUAGCAAUAUUUUAGUCAACAUCAUAUAAUUCACAUCGUAUAAUCUUCGUAGGUACUUCUUUAACAACACAUGGGUAGAACACCACUCGACAAACUCAUGGAUGAUAAUUCAUCGACAACGACCUUGACUCGACAAAUGCGACAAUGCAACUUAGACACUUUAUAUGCAUGUGGUACCAAUCGUCAUCAUAAGUAUUAAUAUACUUUUAUCGUGCGGAGGACAAAACUCCUAAAACGUGCGGAGGACAAAGCUCCUAAUCGUGGUGAGGACAAAGCUCAAUGAAAUGCUAUGCAUGGACUCUUAACAACAAGACACCGUAAUCAUCGUAAUCAACAUAUCAUCAUGCAUCCAAUAAUUUGGAGCUAAACGUCAUCAUUUCAUCAUAUAUAUAGACAUCAUGUACUUAUUUAAAUAACAACAGUAGCACAGUCAAGUCACACAAUAACAGAGAGAUAUCAAUAUAUCAAUUUCAAUUCACAACAUAACAAUAUUAAUGUGAAGCAUCAACAACUUAAACAUCAAACAUCUUCCACAUAAGGCAUAUAAAUAUUUCACAUAAUCAACAACAGCAGCAUAGGCGACACAUAAACAUCUCAGGAUAUAACAAUAUCAAAUGAUAAUCAACAACAACUCAUGCAACUUAGUUAAAUAACAAUAGCAGCAUAAUCAGAUCAUAUCAACAGCUUAAUAUCAAUUCAUUUUCAACAACUUCCUAAUCAUUCAAUAAUAAUUCAAGUAAUGCAAUCAAUCAAUAAAUCACAUUAUAAACACUUAGCAUUUCAAUAUAGCUUCACAAAUAACAGUUAACAUCUUAGAUAGGUCUCAUUAGUACCUAAAGUUCCAUUCCUAAUCCAUUCAAACGACUCAGGUCUCAAAUUCCUCAAAAGCACUCAAUUCUGGAUGUGCUCGCGAGGCGAGAGUUCUUACUCGCCAUGGCGAGUACCACUCAUCUCCCAAACUAGUGUUGUUCUGGGUUCAAUCUGAUCCUACAUUCAAUCCUAAUCAAUACUAGGUAUGUUCAGGCACUCUAAGGCAUCCAAGGUCCAACUAAAAAGGUCGAAACACGAAAUCUAACAUACACUCUGCCUUAGCUCGCUAUGGCGAGUAAGGUGGCUCGCAGUGGCGAGCUGCAUCACACAACUCGCGAGGCGAAGGGGAUUGCUCGCCAUGGCGAGUUGAACUAAACAACUCGCGAGGCGAAGGGAAGGGCUCGCGUGGCGAGCGAUGAAGUUCAUCCCUCGCGAGGCGAGGAUCAUCCCUCGCCAAGGCGAGCGAUGAACAGAAGCUCGGGCAGACUAGGGUUUUUCUCAAAAAUCCAUCAUUCAACAUGUUUCAAAGCUUGGUUUUGAUUCCAGAAUUCAUCCUAAACAUAUUCUAAGGUUAAAGGACAGUUCUUUCAUCAAUCUAAACAAGUUUUACCGUUUGAUCAUCAAUCUUUAGGGUUUUGACCUAAUUCCAAAACUUUUCUAAAUCAAUCCUAACUUUGUCAAUUAAUCAUCAAAAUUACAGCAAUCAACGUUAUUGAAUUAUGAGUCUUACCCUUACCUUAAUACACAAAAUCGCAGCCCUCCUCUUGGUGUUUCCUCUUCUCUUGACUUUUUCUCCCUUUUUCCAAAACUGGUCGUACGUACGUUAUGUUUUUCUAAACUAGGUCUCUCCUAUUUAUAUAAAUCUUUAACCUACUUAUUUUUCUCUUAAAUCCAAAUAUUAAUAUUCUAUUCUAAUAUAUACAUAUAUAUAAAAUAUUUCUAGAACAAUAAUAAAUAACAAAUAUAUUUCUAUAACAUAUAUAUAUUUUCAUAACAAAUCAUUUAUAUUUCCAUAACGAAUCAUAUAUAUUUCUGAACCAAAUAACAUAUAUUAUAUUUCUAAAUCAAAUAACAUAUAUAUAUAUAUAUUUCUAAAUCAAAUAACAUAUAUAUAUAUUUCUAAAUCAAAUAACAUAUAUAUUAUAUUAAUAAAUAUAUAACAUAUAUCAUAACAAAAUAUCACUCAUUAAAAUAAAUCAUAUAAAUCAUACAAAUCAUAUAAAUGUAUUCUAAACUCAUUAAAAAUAUUCAAAUAAUUAGAGAGGGCGUUACAACCAGUAUUAUGGGGUGUGCAGUAUAUAAAGAGGAAUUGAAACUGGGCCUUUGGAAAACAGAUGGAGCGUUGGGCUUAAAGGGAACCGGUUUUAGGUCCGGUCCGGUUCAAGCGCUGAACCGGUUCGGCCUAAUAGUAUAUAUAGGCUGUGGACUGGUUUUUUCAUUUUAAACAUGGAUUUCUCUCUCUACUCCCUAAAACCUAAACAAAGCUCUCUUCUCUUUUCUUUCUUCUCCGGUAGAGAGAUGGGCGGCCGGAGGUGGCUCCGACGCGGCGGUUGGCCGUCAUCGACGGCGGCGCCGCCGCUCCCAAAACAGUUUUGUUUAAUUUUUUUGUUGUUCCUACUCGGUUUUUUUACCUCUGUCCGUUUUUAACACUAAAAAAAAUCAAAUACCUACCCAACAGUCCUAGAUCUAAAAGACACGAAAUUAUACCUUUCCUUUCUCUUCGAUCUGCGACGAGGUGGUUAUGAUUCUGGUCCGUUUGUCCCUGAUAGGUUCGACGCGAUGGUUACUCGGAAACAGUCCUAUGGUGUUCGGUUUGAGCUCGUCGACGGUGUUGCUGGGUCCGAUUUGUCUCGUAUUUUUUUGUCUGAUCGGUUGUGUUGUGUGUGGUUAAGGGUUUCGAGGAAGGGUUUUGGUUGAUUGAGUUUCGUAUUGAAAUUGGUGGUUUAUGGUGUUGGCUUGUGUGGGAAAUUGUUUAUGCAGGUUUCUGAUUUUUUCGUCUACAGGUUUGCGGCCAGGGUUUUUUAUCUGUUUGCGGCUAGGGUUUUUUUGUGUUUUUUGGUUGUGGAAAUUGUCCGUGAACAGUUCUGAUUUCCUCUCUUUCUUUUAAAGGCUAAUACAAAUUCUUAAAAGGAAAUAGAUUAAAGGACCAUGAAUCGGCUUGAUGGGUGAUUAAGUGACUGUUAAAGGCUGAAACGCGUUUUAGCUUGAUUUGGAAAGAAUAAUCUGACUUUUGGCACUGAUGGAGUGGCGUGUUUGAGAGAAUGGACCUCGGAAAAAAAAAUAAAAAUCUAACCUAUUGACACUUUAUUAUUCUUUGACAUUUAUUAUCACAAAAAGAAAAAAAGAAAAAAAAAGAAAGAGAAAAAUAAGACCUAAAAAUGGAAGUAAUGAUAAUCAAAGAUAAAGGUAAAAUUAAAACAAAUAAAACUAAAAGACUAAUAAAUAAAAAAAGUGAGGAGAGGGCCCGCAAUCGGAACAAAAAUGAGGUAUUUUAAAAUACCUCUCUGCCGAAUUUUCACUGAAAAAAUCAAAGAUCGAUCAGAGUCAAGUGACGCGCAUCAGUGGGACCUUAGGUCAAAAUUUAGGGUAUGACAUAUAUCUAGCAUCGUAGGCUUUUUUUGACAUAUCGGUAUUAAGCAGGAACAGACAUCUUCAAGAAGUCAUUCUUGAAUUUAUUACUAGAGGCCAUCUUGUAUGCGUCUUAUGCUUCAGAGACAGAGGCAAAACAGAAGCCAUGUUUGAGAUUAGAAUUUGGAAAGUGAGCACAAUAAUUCCCACUACCCUUUUUCGUGCAUUCAUCAUGAGACAUACAUAACUUAGGAUGUUCGUCAACCUUCCUGUGAAAAUUUCCACUUACCACAUUGUCUUUUUCGCAAAAACCCACACAAACACCGAACGUACAAUCAACGAGUACGCAUUCACAACCGUUACGACAACCUGGCAAAAAGGUACCGCAACUUUGUUGACAUCCUGCUCCUUCUACUUUGUUCAUCGGAAACAUUACUGUAAAUGACAAAGCUAAUUAAAUUUGAACAACAUACAAAUACCAUUAUUAUAAUAGUAAUAAAAUUAGUUGAGAGUCGAUUAUGAUUAAUUUCUCACGAUUUAUUAAACAUAAAUAGAAAUGCAUGCAUGUUAUAUAUGGGUGAGGAAGAUGAUUGAAAUACAUACAGAAUGCGGCAAGCAAGAAGACAGCAAAAGGAGCUAGCUUAACAUAAGCCAUUGAUUGAUCAAAAGAAAGAAUACUAUUGUUUGCUAAUUAUGAGAUCAACUUUUUAUUGCAUUUUUUUAUUUCUUGCAUGCAUCAAUUUAUAGACAAAAUUAAUGUUUUUCCCUUAUCCAUGGAUCCUCAAAUUGUCUUAUUAAAUUCAACAGCGAGGGACACGAGGUUAAUUUAAUAAGCAUUCCCACUAAAAUACACAAGCUGAGGUUUCUAUAUGCUUAUCUAUAACUGAGGGUAAACAAACACAAACUCUGUAAUCUCAAUAAUUGUUUUCAAAGUAAUCUCAUCGGAUACUAGUAUUCUGCACGUUGGUUUGUGCUUAAUUAUGCAUUCAAUAAUUAUUUUAUAUUAGUAAUCCCAAUAGUGAAGAGACUGAUACUCAAUUGAGAUUGAGACAUGCCAUUAUUCAACUAUCACUUGGUAGAAUUUAUCUUGUUUGUAUCUUAGAACGAGCAAAGGAAUCUUUAUAAGCACUGAGGUUGGUGUUUAAUUAUUAUUUUUUGAAAGAAUGUUUAAUUAUAUAUAUUCAAUUUUUAAAUUAUUCAGCAUUUGGAACUUUAUCAACAACCAAAGGAACUCGUGGAGUUGUUGUACUCGAACGAGGAAGAAAUGAAAUGACAAACAGAAGAGUUAGACAAACAGAAGAGUAAAAUUAGAUUUAUUGUAUUAAUUAUAAACAUAUGAUUUUUACACAAUUAUAUUUAGAGAAGGAUACAAGAGCUGGUUUGACAAAAACUAUAUUUUGUUUCAAUCCCUUUUCUUUUUAGAUUUCUCCCCUCUCUCUUUAUUUAGUGUCUUGGAAAGUGGGAGGUAGGACUCAUGCAGCCGAGGUAAAAAUAAGGUGGAUUAGGUGUACAAAUAUCACAAUCCAAAAUAUAAAAGGGCCUUAUGCUAUAACGGAAGGGAAACAAUCAAACAUUGUUUUGUGGGAAGAAAAAUAAGUUUUGCACAUAAAAGGUGCCUGUUUAUAUGAGAAAUGUUAUCAAGUAUCCUUAUGAUACUUGAUAAAAAGUUUAAAGGGAAAAUUUUAUUUCGUGAGUUGUGUAUUUUACACAUUGAAUCAUUAAAAAGUAAUUUUUUUAACAUAAAAUUUAUCAAUUUUUUUUUUUUGAAUUUUUAUAACAAAGUACCAUAAUAACACUUGUUAGCUUUUUUUUUUUUUUUUUUUAUCAAUGAAAUGCUAAGGCCACUUUGUCGGUUAGUGCUACAAUUUAUUUUGAUGUUCUCGAUUGUAUUAACAAUAUUAUUAUCAAUGAAAUGCUCUAAGCAUUUUUUCAUAAAAAUUAUAAACAUAAAUAUAUUGGCAUGGCAUGAUUUUUUUUUAUUUUUUAUGAAAAAAUGCUUAUAGCAUUUCAUUGAUAAUAAUAUUGUUAAUACAAUCGAGAACAUCAAAAUAAAUUGUAGCACUAACUGACAAAGUGGCCUUGCCUGCAAAAAUAUGAGCAACCAUAUUAACAUGUUGCCGAUUAAACUUUGGCCUAAAAUUAGUAAAUGUGAAUAGAAGAGAAUCUGAUAUGCUGCAAUGACUUGGCAUGAAUAUCUUAAAAUGUAAAGUAGUAUAUAGUCAUUUGAAAUUUCACCAUCUCCUACUGGUUAAUUUAAAAUAUAAUAUAAAUAAUCAAGUGGUUGAGAUGCGGCUAAUGAGCUUUAUCAAAUGAGGAAAGAAUUCGAGUUUCAUUUCUGAUGGAACAAUUAUUGAUCAUGUUUUUUUUUUUUUUACCUCUCAACCAAACUAGAGUCAUAUCCUCUAGUUAUGGGAUUCUUAACAAAUCCUUCCUCUACAUUUAAUGUAUCAGCGGGUGGUUAUGAUGGAUCCUAUGGUGACCUAUACCACAGUGGCAGCCGUUCGGUUUACAAUGACUCUGCUUGGUGGUCUGCUACAAUUGAGAUAAUGAUAGGAGGGUGAAAAAAGUAACCAUUGCAAUCUCGGAUAUGGCCACAACAAGUUGUACUUCUCGAGUAGGAGAAGAAAGAAUCAUGUUCAUUUACUUUGAAACAUCCAAUAGGAAGUGAAUUUCAUGCCAGAUAAAUAAAGGUAGCAUGGAUUUAAACCUUAUUUUAUAAUAUCAUGGUAUUCUUCUGAAAAACUGGGUGGUUUUGGAAAGUAUCUUUCCAAAUUUGAUAGAGGUUUCUUAACACUUGGACCAAUCCAUUGUACACGCAGCACAAAUGCAUGCAGGAAUUUCUUUCUCUCUUCUCUGACCCGCUUCUACUUUCUUCCCUAUCAUUCCAUCACCGCCACCUCCCCCCUCUCCAUGGUCUGUGUCUUCUCACUCAUGUCCCCUUACAAAUUGAUUUUAAUAAUUUCAAUUCAUUUCAACAAUGCAAGGAUAGUAUUGAAUUUUAUUUUAUAGACACUUUAAAAAACCUGAAAUUGAUUUCAAUUUCUACUUUAAAACUCAUAAAAAGAACAAAUUAGAGUUUGUAAUAUUCGAUGUGAAGGUCUAGAUUUAGAGAAAUCACUACCAUAUCCAAGGUUAUGAUUCUGGAACCUUAGCAAGAACAAGGAUACUUAUAACCACCACUACCAAAGCAACUCCAACUGUCAACACAAUGUCACAGGUUGCGGUGGCGAGAAGAAGUGGGACAUACUCGAUGGAUAUGAUGAGAUGAAGCAGAUGAAAUUGGGGAAUUGAGAGGAGGUGGAGGAAAAGGGAUCAAGUGUGUGAUAGUUUAGUGUGAAAAAACAUAUAUUAAUUAAACAACAGGCCUAACAAAAGCAUAACACAUGCUACGAAAGACAACCAAAAAUACAAAGUCAUGAAAGCAAAAAUACAAAAUCUUCAACUGUAUAUAUGAAAAUUAGAAAACGAGUAAUGGCAUACAUUACUUUCAAAAUAACAUCAUAUCUUACAUGGUCAAACCAUGCACAUACAUCAUUAUUGAAAUUUGGAUGGAUGUUAAGAAACCCAAUUAUUUAGCAGGAAACAAAGACUACUAUUUAAAGUAAGUACAUAGAUGCAUGAUAUCUAGCAUGGUAGGCUUUUUUUCACAUCGAACGAUAUUAAGCGGGAAGAGACAUCUUCAAGAAGUCAUUCUUGAAUUUAUAGCUAGAGGCCAUCUUGAAUGCGUCUUGUGCUUUAGAGACAGAGGCAAAACAGAAGCCAUAUUUGAUAUCAGAAUUAGGA
rnacentral:lncRNA from 1 species